AUUGAACGCUGGCGGCAGGCCUAACACAUGCAAGUCGAACGAGUGGCGGACGGGUGAGUAAUGUCUGGGAAACUGCCCGAUGGUGGGGGAUAACUACUGGAAACGGUAGCUAAUACCGCAUACCAUCGGAUGUGCCCCGAUGGGUUUAGCUAGUAGGUGGGGUAACGGCUCACCUAGGGGACGAUCCCUAGCUGGUCUGAGAGAAUGACCAGCGACACUGGAACUGAGACACGGUCCAGGGUCCUGCGAGAGGCAGCAGUGGGGAAUAUUGCACAAUGGGCGCGAGCCUGAUGCAGCCAUGCCGAGUGUAUGAAGGAGGCCUUCGGGUUGUAAAGUACUUUCAGCGAGGAUGCGUUACUCGCAGAAGAAGCACCGGCUAACUCCGUGCCAGCAGCCGCGGUAAUUC
rnacentral:rRNA from 1 species